rnacentral:lncRNA from 1 species
CAUCCUCCUGCUUCAUCCUCAUCCUCCUGCUUCAUCCUCAUCAUCAUCAUCAUCCUGCUUCAUCCUCAUCCUCAUCCUCCUGCUUCAUCCUCAUCCUCCUGCUUCAUCCUCAUCCUCCUUCAUCCUCAUCCUCCUGCUUCAUCCUUAUCCUCCUGCUUCAUCCCCAUCCUCAUCAUCAUCAUCCUGCUUCAUCCUCAUCCUCAUCCUCCUGCUUCAUCCCCUCCUCCUGCUUCAUCCCACAUCCUCAUCCUCCUGCUUCAGCCCCAUGUUCAUCCUCCCGCUUCAUCCCCAUCCUUGUGCUUCAUCCCCAUCCUCCUGCUUUAUCCCCAUCCUUCUGCUUCAUCCUCAUCCUCGUGCUUCAUCCCACAUUCUCAUCCUCCAUCUUCAUCCUCCUGCUUCAUCUCCAUCCUUGUGCUUCAUCCUCAUUCUCAUCCUCAUCCCCCUGCUUCAGCUCCAUUCCCAUUCUCCUGCUUCAUCCUCAUCCUCCUGCUUCAUCCCCAACCUUGUGCUUCAUCCUCAUCUGCCUGCUUCAGCUCCAUCCUCAUCCUCCUGCUUCAUCCCCAACCUUGUGCUUCAUCCUCAUCUGCCUGCUUCAGCUCCAUCCUCAUCCUCCUGCUUCAUCCCCAUCCUUGUGCUUCAUCCUCAUCUGCCUGCUUCAGCUCCAUCCUCAUCCUCCUGCUUCAUCCUCAUCUGCCUGCUUCAGCUCCAUCCUCAUCCUCAUGCUUAAUUUCCACCUUCAUCCUCACCCUUCUUCUUCAUCCUCAUCCUCAUGCUUCAUCCCCACCCUCCCGCUUCAUCCUCAUCUUCAUCUGCCUGCUUCAGCUCCAUCCUCAUCCUCCUGCUUCAUCCCCAUCCCCCCUGGCCCAUUCCAUCUCCUCACCCCACACAAAUCCCCGGGGCCAGCCCAAGCUCUGCCUCUCACGGAGCAAAGUAAAAAUGAAAGCUUGGAGUAAUCCCACAAGUCUGAGAGAAAUGAAACC